GCAUAUCAAUAAGCGGAGGAAAAGAAACCAACCGGGAUUGCCCUAGUAACGGCGAGUGAAGCGGCAACAGCUCAAAUUUGAAAUCUGGCUCUUUUAGAGUCCGAGUUGUAAUUUGCAGAGGGCGCUUUGGCUUUGGCAGCGGUCCAAGUUCCUUGGAACAGGACGUCACAGAGGGUGAGAAUCCCGUACGUGGUCGCUGGCUAUUGCCGUGUAAAGCCCCUUCGACGAGUCGAGUUGUUUGGGAAUGCAGCUCUAAAUGGGUGGUAAAUUCCAUCUAAGGCUAAAUACUGGCGAGAGACCGAUAGCGAACAAGUACUGUGAAGGAAAGAUGAAAAGCACUUUGAAAAGAGAGUGAAACAGCACGUGAAAUUGUUGAAAGGGAAGGGUAUUGCGCCCGACAUGGAGCGUGCGCACCGCUGCCCCUCGUGGGCGGCGCUCUGGGCGUGCUCUGGGCCAGCAUCGGUUUUUGCCGCGGGAGAAGGGCGGCGGGCAUGUAGCUCUUCGGAGUGUUAUAGCCUGCCGCCGGCGCCGCGAGCGGGGACCGAGGACUGCGACUUUUGUCUCGGAUGCUGGCACAACGGCGCAACACCGCCCGUCUUGAAACACGGACC
rnacentral:rRNA from 1 species